rnacentral:rRNA from 1 species
GAGGGUGACAAUCCCGUGCUUUACACGACGACCGGUGCUAUGUGAUACGUUCUCUACGAGUCGAGUUGUUUGGGAAUGCAGCUCAAAACGGGUGGUAAACUCCAUCUAAAGCUAAUAUUGGUGGGAGACCGAUAGCGAACAAGUACCGUGAGGGAAAGAUGAAAAGCACUUUGGAAAGAGAGUUAAACAGUAUGUGAAAUUGUUGAAAGGGAAACGAUUGA